GCUUAAGUAGUAGUAGCUAUAAUCUUGAAACUUAAAGAAUUUGGCGGUAUUUUAAUCUUUUCAGAGGAACCUGUUCUAUAAUCGAUAUUCCACGUUAAAUUUUACUAAAUUGUUUGUAUAUCGUUGUCGAAAGAAUAAAUUUUCUAAUAUUUUUAUUAAAAAAGAUGUCAAAUCAAGGUGUAGCUAAUAUUUUAGAAGAAAUGGGUUACAAUAAAUAUAUUUAGAAAAUUUUAGAAGGAGGAUUUGAAAGUAAAUUAAUUUUAAUAAAUUUAAU
rnacentral:rRNA from 1 species